CUCUUAUCUUCUUCCUCCUGGCUUAGACCCCUGCGAGUUCUCGGCCGGUGACACCAUCGUUGUCCUCUCUUCCUCCUCUCUCUCUCCGGCGAGGUGUCAGGUGAAUAUGGAUCUUUCUUCCCUCUCCCUAAGCCAAGGAUCUGUUAGUCCGAGCGUCUGCAGUCCAAGGGCCUGCUAGUGCAAACGUUGUCCAGGUGGCUGCCGCAGAGAGGUAGCAGGCGGUGAGAAAGUCCAGGCGGAAGCAGUUUUUUCAGCAUACAGUUCUUCUCAAAGGAUCGGAGUAAAGAACGGAAUACCAAGACAAAGAAUUCAAGGCUUGGUUUGCAUGCAGUUGAUGAGAUGUAUUUGCGUUGUGAUUGAUUUUUAAGUUGCUGUAGAAAUUUAAAUCUUUAAUCACUAUAGUUUGUUUUGCAUAUCAAAACAAGGUUAGGAAAAAUAUGUCUGCUGACAGCUAAACAAGAAUAUCAUCAUACACUGCAAUGCCAAGAGACAAGUAACACAACAACCAAAUCGUUGUUGUUUGAUACAUUAAUUCAACCAAUCGAUCGUUGU